rnacentral:rRNA from 1 species
UACGUAGGUGGCAAGCGUUGUCCGGAAUUAUUGGGCGUAAAGCGCGCGCAGGCGGUCCUUUAAGUCUGAUGUGAAAGCCCACGGCUCAACCGUGGAGGGUCAUUGGAAACUGGGGGACUUGAGUGCAGAAGAGGAAAGCGGAAUUCCACGUGUAGCGGUGAAAUGCGUAGAGAUGUGGAGGAACACCGGUGGCGAAGGCGGCUUUCUGGUCUGUAACUGACGCUGAGGCGCGAAAGCGUGGGGAGCAAACAGG